CCCGGUAGCUAAAUGCGGAAGAGAUAAGUGCUGAAAGCAUCUAAGCACGAAACUUGCCCCGAGAUGAGUUCUCCCUGACUCCUUGAGAGUCCUGAAGGAACGUUGAAGACGACGACGUUGAUAGGCCGGGUGUGUAAGCGCAGCGAUGCGUUGAGCUAACCGGUACUAAUGAACCGUGAGGCUUAACCUUACAACGCCGAAGGUGUUU
rnacentral:rRNA from 1 species